GAGAUUUUCUACCUUUUCAUUUAGCCAUACAUCAGAAGGCUAUAAUUUUAAUAAAGUACAAUUUGUGAAUUUUUUUUCAUAGAUCAUACUUUGUUUGUUUGUUUGUUUGAGACAGAGUUUCACUCUGUUGCCCAGGCUAGAGUGCAGUGGUGUGAUCUCGGCUCACUACAGCCUCUGCUUCCCCAUUUCAAGUGACUCUCAUACCUCAGCCUCCCGAGUAGCUGGAAUUACAGGUGUGCACCACCAGGCCCAGCUAAUUUUUUCUAUUUUUAGUAGAGAUGGGGUUUCACUGUGUUGCCAAGGCUAGUCUUGAACUCUUGGCCUCAAAUGAUCCACCCACCAGAGCCUCCCAAAGUGUUGGAAUUACAGGCAUGACCACCACACCCAGCCUCCAUAGAUCAUACUUUUGAUGUUAUAUUUAAAAACUCAUCACCAAAACCAAGAUUUAUCAGAUUUUCUCUUAUGUUACUGAUAUGGUUUGGCUGUAUUCCCACCCAAAUCUCAUCUUGAAUUCCCAUGUAUUGUGGGAGGGAUCCAGUGGGAGGUAAUUGAAUCAUGGGGGCAAGUCUUUCCCAUGCUAUUCUCAUGAUAGUGAAUAAGUCUCAUGAGAUCUCAUGGUUUUUAAAAGAGGAAUUCUCCUGCACAAGCUCUCUCCUCUUUGCUUGCCAAUAUCCAUGUAAGAUGUGACUUGCUCCUCCUUGCCUUCCACCGUGAUUGUGAGGCUUCCUCAGCCACAUGGGACUGUAAGUCCAAUUAAAACUUUUUCUUUUGUAAAUUGCUCAGUCUCAGGUAUGUCCUUAUCAGCAGCAUGAAAACAGACUAAUACAGUAAAUUGGUACCAGUAGAGUGGGGUGCUGCUGAAAAGAUACCUGAAAAUGUGGAAGCUACUUUGGAACUUGGUAGCAGACAGAGGUUGGAACAGUUUGGAGGGCUCAGAAGAAGACAGGAAAAGUUUGGAACUCCCUAGGGACUUGUAGAAUGGCAUCAACAAAAUGCUGAUAAUGAUAUGCACAAUGAAAUCCAGGCUGAGGUGGUCUCAGAUGGAGAUGAGGAACUUGGUGGGAACUGGAGCAAAGGUGACUCUUGUUAUGUUUUAGCAAAGAGACUGGUGGCAUUUUGCCCUUGCCCUAGAGAUUUGUGUAAAUUUGAACUUGAGGGAGAUGAUGGUAUCUAGCAGAAGAAAUUUCUAAGUAGCAAAACAUUCAAGAGGUGACUUGGGUGCUGUUAAAGGUGUUCAGUUUUAAAAGGGAAGCAGAGAAUAAAAGUUCAGAAAAUUUGCAGCCUGAUCAAAUGUGGUAGGAAAGAAAAUCCCAUGUUCUAAGGAGAAUUUCAAGCUGGCUGCAGAAAUUUGCAUAAGUAACAAGGAGCCAAAUGUUAACCACCAAAACAAUGGGGAAAAUGUCUCCAGGGUGUCAGAGACCUUCAUGGCAGCCCCUCCCAUCACAGGCCCAAAGGUUUAGGAGGAAAAAAUGGUUUUGUGGGCUGGGCCCAGGGUCCCUCUGCUGUGUGCAGUCUAGGAACUUGGUGCCCUGCAUCCCAGCUGCUCCAGCUGUGACUAAAAAGGGCCAAGGUACAGCUCAGGCUGUUGCUUCAGAGGGUGGAAGCCCCAAGCCUUGGCAGCUUCCACAUGGUGUAGAGCCUGUGGUUACACAGAAAGUCAAGAAUUGAGGUUUGUAAACCUCCCCCUAGAUUUCAGAGGAUGUAUGGAAAUGCCUCGAUGUCCAUGCAAAAAUUUGUAAGGGCAGGGCCCUCAUGGAGAACCUCUGCUAGGGCAGUGCAGAGGGAAAUGUGGAGUCAGAGCCCCCACACAGAGUCCCUACUGGGGCACUGCAUAGUGGAGCUGUGAGAAAAGAGUUACCAUCCUCCAGACCCCAGAAUGAUAGAUCCACUGACAGCUUUCACAGUGCACCUGGAAAAGCCACAGACACUCAACACCAGCCCGUGAAAGCAGACAGGAGGGGGGCUAUACCCUGCAAAGCCACAGGAGCAGAACUGCCCAAGACCAUAGGAACCCACCUCUUGCAUCAGUGUGACCCAGAUGUGAGACAUGGAGUCAAAGGAGAUCAUUUUGGAGCUUUGAGAUUUGACUGCCCUGUUGUAUUUCAGACUUCUAUGGGGGCCUGUAGCCCCUUUGUUUUAGACAAUUUCUUUCAUGUGGAGUGGCUGUAUUUACCCAAUACCUGUACCCCCAUUGUAUCUAGGAAGUAACUAACUUGCUUUUGAUUUUACAGGCUUAUAGGUGGAAGGGACUUGUCUCCAAUGAACUUUGGAUGGUGGGCUUCUGAGUUAAUGCUGAAAUGAGUUAAGACUUUGGGGGACUGUUGGGAAGGCAUGAUUGGUUUUGAAAUGUGAGGAUGCAAGAUUUGGGAAUGGCCUGGGGCAGAAUGAUAUGGUUUGGCUCUGUCCCCACCCAAAUCUCAUAUUGAAUUCCCGUGUGUUGUGGGAGGGACCCAGUCAGAGGUACCUGAAUCAUGGCGGCAAGCCUUUCCCAUGCUGUUCUCAUGAUAGUGAAUAAGUCUCAUGAGAUCUGAUGGUUUUAAAAAGAGGAAUUCCCCUGCACGAGCUCCCUCUCUUUGCCUGCCACCAUCCACGUAACUUGUGACUUGCUCCUCCUCGCCUUCUGCCAUGAUUCUGAGGCUUUCCCAGCCAUGUGGAACUGUAAGUCCAAUUAAACCUCUUUCUUUUGUAAACUGCCCAGUUUUUAUCUUUAUCAGCAGCAUGAAUACAAAUACAGUUAGCUUCUAGAGGUUUUAUAAUUUUUGCAUUGUACAUUUAGCUGUAUGAUCCAUUUUCAGUUAGUAUUUGUAGGAGCAAGAUUUGUGUGUAGAUUCCUUUUUUUUUUUUUUUUUUUUUUUUGCAUGUGCACAUCCAGUUGUUCCAGCAUCAUUUGUUGAACAGGCUCUCCCUUCUCCAUUGAAUUGCUUUGUUCCUUUGGUGUGGGUCUAUUUCUGGGCUCUUCAUUCUGUUCCAUUGAUCCAUGGGUCUGUUGUUUUGUCAGUUCCAUGCUGUCUUGAUUUCUAUGGCUUUGUAGUAAGUCUUGGAGUCAGGGGGUGUCAGUCCUCCAGCUUUAUAGUUGUUUUGUGCUUUCAUUUUUGGAAGGUUAUCAAUUAUUGACUCAAUUUCUUUAAUAGAUAUAGGCUUAUCAAGAUUAUUGUUUCUUGUGUGAGUUUUGGUAGUUUAUAUCUUUCAAGGAAUUGGCCUAUUUCAUCUAGGUUAUCAAAUUUAUGGCAACAGUUGUUCGUGAUAUUCCUUUAUCAUCCUUUUAAUAUCCAUGGGAUCAGUAUUGAUGACCCCUCUUUAACUUCUGAUACAGUAGUCCCCCAUUGUUAGUGGCUCAAUUUCUGUGAACUUUAGUUAUCUGUGGUCAACAAGAGCCUAAAAAUAUUAAAUGGAAAAUUCCAGAAAUAAACAAUUCAUAAGUUUUAAAUUAUGAAUUUAUGCACCCUUUUUAGUAUCAUAAUGAAAUUUCGCGUUGUCCUGCUCCAUCCAGCCCAGCUCCAUCCCUUUUGUCCAACAUAUGCAUGCUGUGUAUGCCACCUGCCUGUUAGUCAUUGACAUCAUUUGCUCCCGACAUGCUGUCAUCAAUGUCAGCAUGGUUUGAUGAUCCAGGAUCACCUGAAGUAGAUGAUCCUCCUUCUGAUAUAUUGUGGCCUAACAAUAUAGGCCAAUGUUGAAAUGGCCACUGCAAAAUUAUAACUGAGGCAGUGAAAAGAGAUCUGACCUGGCCGGGUGCUGUGGCUCAUGCCUGUAAUCCCAGAAUUCUGGGAGGCCGAGGUGAGGGAAUCACCUGAGGUCAGGGGUUCAAGACCAGCCUGGCCAACAUAGUGAAACCCCGUCUCUAGUAAAAAUACAAAAACUAGCCAGGCGUAGUGGUGCAUGCCAGUAGUCCCAGCUACUCAGAAGGCUGAGGCAGGAGAAUUGCUUGAACCAAGAAGGCUGAAGUUGCAGUGAGCUGAGAUCCUGCCACUGCACUCCAGCCUGGGCGACAAAGUGAAACUCCAUCUCAAAAAAAAAGAAAGAGAUCUGACCUAACCAAUUCCAUCUUACUUUUAACCUCCAAGCUAUCCUUGUUCAUUCCUGACCAUAGGACAAACUAUUAAUAACUUUAUUAAUAACUUUGGGAGGAACUUAGUUUACAGUUUAAAACAAAGACAAUAACAGCCUUUUCCCAAAACAAAGCCUCUUCUUGGCUGGGGACUAGACUGCCUUUGUAGGACUAAUAAAUUAGCCGAAAGAUUAGAAAUUAUGGUUUAGGAGUCAUGCAGCUGGAAGCUACAAGAUUCUGACCAUCCCCAAAGAACUACUGGGGAAAUUAUCACCAUUGUAAAACCUGAGAUCAGUGCUUGUGAUAUUUUGCAGGUCAGCUGGCACCACCCAGAUUCAUAAACUGAGUCAUCUGAUCUUAUGGCCCCAACCCAGGAACUGACUCAGCGUUAAGAGGACAGCUUUGGCCCUGUUUUGUUUGUUUUUUUGUUUUUUUGAGACAGGGUCUCACUCUGUCACCCAGGCUGGAGUGCAGUGACACGAUCUCGGCUUACUGCUACCUCUACCUCCCAGGCUAAAGGCAUCCUCCUGCCUUAGCCUCUGGAGUAGCUGGGACUACAGGUGUGAGCCAACAUGCCUAGCUAAUUUUUGCAUUUUUUGUAGAGAUGGGGUUUUGCCAUGUUGCCUAAGCUGGUCUCAAACUUCUGAGCUCAAUCAAUCAGUCUGCCUCAGCCUUCCAAAGUGCUGGGACUAUAGGCAUGAACCACCACUGCCUGGCCCUAUGAUUUCAUCUCUGACCCAACCAAUCAGCACUCCCAACUUACUGGUUCUCCACCCACCAAAUUAUCCUUAAAAACUCUGAUCCCUGAAUGCUCAGGAAGACUGAUUAGAGUAAUAAUAAAACUCCAGUUUCCAGCACAGCCGGCUGUGUGAAUUACUCUUUCUCUAUUGCAAUUCCUCUGUCUGGAUAAAUUGGCUCUCUGUAGGCAGCAGUGUCAUGCUCUGUCACACAGGCUGGAGUACAUCGGCACGAUCAUGGCUCACUGUAGUAACCUCAAACUCCCGGGCUCAAGUGAUCCUCCCAGCUCAGCCUCCCGAGUAGCUGGGACUAUAGGCUUUCACCACCAUACUUGGCUAAUUUUUUCUAUUUUUUUCGUAGAGAUAGGUCUCACUUUGUUGCCCAGGCUGGUCUCGAACUCUUGGGCUCAAGCACUUCACCUUCCUCAGCCUCCCAAAUUGCUGGGAUUAUAGGCGUGAGGCACCAUGCCCAGCCUC
rnacentral:lncRNA from 1 species